rnacentral:misc_RNA from 1 species
UAGAAAUUAGAAAAGAGAUCUGUUUACGCAGAUUCUUUUUUCGCCGAACAGCAAUUGUCCGGACCACCCUUGUCUACGAGCACUCCUGUUUCCUCGGCGGGUUCGCCCGCCGACGGACCCACUGUUUAACGCUUAUGAUUCACUUGGUGUUGUCUGAGCUAUAUGCAAAAACAAUCA